rnacentral:misc_RNA from 1 species
AAAGUCGUAACAAGGUUUCCGUAGGUGAACCUGCGGAAGGAUCAUUACAUUCAGCUGCAACCGCGUUCGGGCAACCGCGCGCGGCCUAGGCUUGAUACCCUUGCUUAUGUAUACCUUUGUUAUUCCCUCGGCAGGCUUCGCCUGCCGGGGGAGCACCCAAAACCCCUUGUAUUAAGCAUCAAAACUUCUGAACAACAAACAAAAUAUCACAACUUUCAACAAUGGAUCUCUUGGUUCUG